CGUACACUCCUGCGGGAGGCAGCAGUGGGGAAUAUUGCACAAUGGGCGCAAGCCUGAUGCAGCCAUGCCGCGUGUAUGAAGAAGGCCUUCGGGUUGUAAAGUACUUUCAGCGGGGAGGAAGGCGAUAAGGUUAAUAACCUUGUCGAUUGACGUUACCCGCAGAAGAAGCACCGGCUAACUCCGUGCCAGCAGCCGCGGUAAUACGGAGGGUGCAAGCGUUAAUCGGAAUUACUGGGCGUAAAGCGCACGCAGGCGGUCUGUCAAGUCGGAUGUGAAAUCCCCGGGCUCAACCUGGGAACUGCAUUCGAAACUGGCAGGCUAGAGUCUUGUAGAGGGGGGUAGAAUUCCAGGUGUAGCGGUGAAAUGCGUAGAGAUCUGGAGGAAUACCGGUGGCGAAGGCGGCCCCCUGGACAAAGACUGACGCUCAGGUGCGAAAGCGUGGGGAGCAAACAGGAUUAGAUACCCGUGUAGUCCCAUGA
rnacentral:rRNA from 1 species